rnacentral:lncRNA from 1 species
CAAUUAUGAGAACAAAAAUUCAAACAUAGAGUACUAGGAAAUUCAAAUCUGAAAUAAAAAAUGCGAAAAUAAUCAUGAAAUGAGAAAGAAGUUCAAUAUCCAUAUAGUGGUAACUAGAAACGUUCAAUGAGAGCAGUUGCAACACAAUCCUGAAAAAGAUAAAGAAAACAAUUAUCAAAACAAAAUAUAAAAGAAGGGAAUCUAUACUUAAGUUUUAAACUAGUAGUCAGAUCACGAUCACAAACCUUAUAUUGCUACAUCACAUGUUACUCGAUUAUGCCUUCUUUACCACAACGACCGCACUUAUGCUUUUUUGAUAAUUGUGACUGUUGUGAUGCUUUUAUCUUGUCUUCAGCUGAUUCAUAUCUUCGUUUUCUUCGUCUACCAGGUUGUCUU